rnacentral:rRNA from 1 species
UGGGGAAUCUUGCGCAAUGGGCGAAAGCCUGACGCAGCGACGCCGCGUGGGGGAAGAAGGCCUUCGGGUUGUAAACCUCUUUCAGCAGGGACGAAGCCACUCGGGUGAAUAGCCCAGAGGGUGACGGUACCUGCAGAAGAAGCCCCGGCUAACUACGUGCCAGCAGCCGCGGUAAUACGUAGGGGGCAAGCGUUGUCCGGAUUUAUUGGGCGUAAAGAGCGUGUAGGCGGCCAGACAGGUCCGUUGUGAAAACUGGAGGCUUAACCUCCAGACGUCGAUGGAAACCGUUUGGCUAGAGUCCGGAAGAGGAGAGUGGAAUUCCUGGUGUAGCGGUGAAAUGCGCAGAUAUCAGGAAGAACACCCGUGGCUAAGGCGGCUCUCUAGUACGGUACUGACGCUGAGACGCGAAAGCGUGGGGAGCAAACAGG